UUUAACCGCUGUUGCUAUGUCUGUGAGUGGGUGAGGGGAUUGCAGCUUGACCUAAAUUCACAUGUUGGGAGGGAAUUUAAAUGACAGCACUGAGGAUGGAAAUCAGCAUUGCGUGGCUAGCAAGAGACAAGCUAAACAGCAAGAUGAGAGAGGAGAGACGUCUGUCUAGUCUCUGUGAUAAAGCAGCGGACUUACAAAAUUUAACUGAACACUUAAGACUUCUUUAAAGUUAAAAAAACAUCAGGUGUGUUUGUCCUCUGCUGACUGCAGCUGCUGACUGCCAGCGCCACAUUUCCUCCACACUGCAGAUUUUAUCCAUCAGCCUCGGGCUACUCCACUGUGCAGGUUUGGUGUUGCUUGAGUGGCUGUGUGAUGCCCAGAUAGCAAGUGCCAUAUGGUCACCUGAUCCUGUGCUGCUGCUAUCGCACACGUUUCCUCCAGUGCAUGCUGGGACAUCACAACAGAGUCUGUCUGGCUGCUCCACUUCAUGCACCUCUGCCUCACCAGGAGAAAGUCUGGCAGUGGGAGCUUCCAUUUCCUCCAGCUAAGAGUGUGUGUGUGGGGGGGUUAACAUGCAGUGCCACCAAGCAUGGCUAAUGCAAAAGGACAGUUCCCGCUUAUUAUAGAACCAUUGCGGAUAAUAAAAUCUGAAUCAAACUGCCAGCUGAAAGCCACUGGAGAGUUUCCUCCUAUUUAAUUUUUAAAGUUAUGGAAGCACUUGACACUGAGGUGGAUCAAAUAUCACUAGUUUGCGUGCAAAUACUUACUUAGCAAGCUAGUGUAGCCAAAUUUCCAAAUAAAAAAUAAAAAAAUAAAAAAAUAAAUAAAUGAGGUGAGUGGCCAUGCAGUAACAGAUUACUCAGUUCUUUUCUGGAAUGUCACAAUUGGCCCUAAGUGGUUGCAGACGACAUCUCAUCUCAUGAUAGUUUUCACAGGGGCAAGUUUAAAAGGGUCCUAUUAUGCUUUUUCAUUUGUUAAUAUUUACAGCUAAGCAAAUGAAACUUGUGGUUAUGGUAAGGGGUGUGUCAUUUCCGGAACAUGCUCUAAGUGGUUCGCCAAUCACAACGCACUGGGCCAGCUAACCAAUCAAAGCACAUUUCAUGUUUAGGAUGGAGGGGUUUCAUCGAAACAGGAACUAAACAGGGCGUUUGAAACAGACUGGGAAGAGAGGAGCUGCAAUAAUGUAAAAAAUUUUGAAAAAUAAUGCUUCUUUGGAGAUAUAAUAGGACCCCAUUUAAAUAUCCAGUGAGUGGCGCUAAAAGGUUAAUGCUCCAUAAUAUUUGAAAAUAACAUAGAACCUACACUACACCUAAGUGAUAAUGUUAACAAAAGUAAACGUGAAACAAAUAUGCUGAAGCAACUAUGCCAAUUUUGCUUAUUCAAGUCUUUGAGCUCUUUUAUCAUCACUCACAUUUCACUGGACUUGUACCCAAGUGCUUCGCAUCGCAAGUUUAAUGCUGUACCAGGGGAGCUACUGAGCAAUUUUAAACAAAGCCAUACAUAUGGAGCUAUUUAUGUAAUGCAAAUACUGAAAAGUAUUACUUUACGAAACGUUUCGAAGUCAUAACAUACAGUAGUAUUGUGCAAGGAACUGUGCAGAAAUUAGUCUUUAAUAAUUGAUAAUCUGCCCCUGUAAUCAUAAUUUAUGUGAAAACUAAUAAAAUUAGUUGAUUUUUA